CCAAAGCUAAGCUGCAAUUACUAGGUUUUGAAUUCUGCUCCAUCUUUUCAUCCAUAACGGAUGAAAUCAAUUAGCAGUUUAGCACCACCAUUACUCCCUUUAAAUCGAACCAAAAUAAUCAAACCAAGUCCUCAUGCGUUACCAACAUAGAAGAUACCCAUUAAUAACACCAUUAUUUCUUCUUACCAAUCACGUUCGAAUGCAUAAACCUCCCCAAAUAUUUCUUCUUACCACUCUCGUUCGACUGCAUAAACCUCCCCAAAAGUUAUCUUGCACAGGUUCUCAAUGGUUACCAAUCUCCUUUCUUAAGUUUCCGUGAUUUUGGUAUUUUUCGAGGGAAAUCUCUCUGAUUUUGAUAUUUUUCUUAAUAUUUUUUGUUGAUUUUCUCAUCCUGGGUUUGGAUUAAUAAUAAAGGAGCAACAACAACCUAGAAUCAUCAUCAGCAGAAAAAUGAAAAUGAGAUUUUUCGGGAACUCAUCUAAGAAUACCGAUGUGGCAGCAUAAUGUUAUAUCUUCCUCUCUCAAGAGUAUGUAUGGCCGCAAGGGAAUUACGAGUUCGUAUGUUAUCCAGCCUAUGAUUACUUAAUGCGAAGGCAUGAGGCAUCAUAAGGUACUGGAAAUUUAAUGAUGAUGAAAGGGCAGGAGCUGAUCCCAAGGGCUUGAAAAAAGAGACUCUUCAGGAAAUUUUGGAAGUUGGGACAACUUUUAUACUGCACUUAGUGGUGCUACAGAAAUCAACGGAAACCUUACAGUUGGAAGAGAUAGUUAAACCGCCAGUGAAGAUGAUCCAGAUGUUUUUCUUAAAUUGAGUAGGUUCAGGCAUAUAAUGUUCAAGACCAAGGUGGUCAUUUGAAGGAUGGAUUGCUAGAAAAAAAUCGCCCUACUAUAAAUGACUCAUGUGCCUUUUUUGAGUAGAAUAUCGAGCUUAAGCCUAUGGAUUCCACCACAAUGAAAAUGCCGCCCUACAAAUUCUCUUUUACUGCUUUUGAAGAACUGAGUCUAAUACUGCAAACACAUACCUCCCAUUUUUUUAUAUCAUUAGUUUUGUCCCCAAUGUCAUUUUAAUUAUUUUCACUUCUUAUGGUCAAGUAGAUGUGGUCGGCAUUUUUACCACCAGCUUGACAACUCUACAGAAAUUUAAGAGAGCAAAUGGGCAAUGAUCCAUAAUGCGCGACCUAACUCUCAAGAACCUGAGCGGUGUCAAUGUGAAAAUUACUAUGUGGGGUGACUCGACGAGGGAGCUAAGCUGGAACUUGGACCAACAUGGUGUUGAGUAUGCACCGAUUGUGGUAACGGGUACCUACAUAAAAAAAAAUAUUAAGGAAAAUUAUCUUUGUCAUCAACUAAUUCCACCAAGAUCUACUUGAACAUGGAGCUUCCUGGAGUGAUGGAUACGCGGCAAAGGUAAGGGAACCAUAUAAUAUUUCUUAGUCAUGGUAUGGAGUGCUCCACGUAGAAAAGAUAGUCACUCAUGAUAAACUAUUGUGUAAGACGGGUGCUGCCAAAAAACACCACCCAUCAGAUAACUACCUACCAAAAGAUGGAUUCGCCACUGCGGCAUUUUUGUUAUUGGGCAACCUAAAGAGUAUUUCUGAACUAAUGGCGGCCAAAUGGCCAAAUGGAAUGCCGGGUGUAACAUGAUGGUUGGUACUAUUGGAAAUGUGGCAAUCGCACAACAAAAUUAGUUAGAGAAGAGGGUGAUCAGUGGGCCACCUAGAGCGAAGCAAAGAUUGAUGAACCCAUACCCAGGUGUUGUUACAGAAUUUCUGAUGGAAAUACUUCCCUUCAUGCUAUGGUUCUAAGUCCAAGACCCUACCAGCUCUACUAUUUUUGUUGCAGUUGAUAGUGAGGUGCAAAAGAUCAUCCAAGCAACAACAACAAAAUCUCAUAAACUAGACCUUGAUCCAGCAAUUUCACUCGAAUAAUUGUAUAAAUUAGGUGCUUGAGCUCACAAAUGGAAAAAUGUUGUGACCGUUUCGUUUUAGAAAAUAAGUUAACUACCAAGUGCAAUCUCAAAAUCCACAUCUCCUUCAAAUUUCGUUACAAACAGUGUAGCUAUUCGAAACUUCUUAUUGCCCGCCAGUCUCUUGCACAAAGUAUUAAUUUAAUUUGCAGGGUCAAAUAAUGUCCGAUCAAAUCAGCACAGAUAAUCCUCGCAAGCAUGCUUUAAUUACCUUUAUCGGAUGAACAUAUAGGGAUCCACAACCCAGAAUAAUAUCUGAUGAGUUACUUGCACUCUUGAUGAGGUAUAUAUAGCAACUGCUCACCAUGCUACCGAGGGGAAGACCAUGGUUCAAUGGACGACUUAGAUA